rnacentral:rRNA from 1 species
AUGGCCGCACCCUCGGAGGCUAGCGGAUCGCGAUCCAAAACCCCUGAAGACCCUAGCGUUUUGCUGGAGCGCUUGCAUCUGGAGGAGGAUGAAUUGGAUAAUUUGGUGUGGGAAGAAGAAGCGGAUGAACCAGAUGAGAAGCCAAAGCGGCUUGCACUGGCCAGGGUUUUGACGAACAAGUCCUUUGGGCAGGGGACGUUGAUCGCCGACAUGAAAGCGGCUUGGAACCCUGCCAAGGAGGUGGUUUGGAGAAGAAUUAACCCAAACCUGUUUUCGGUGCAGUUCAAUUGUCUAGCAGACUGG